UCCACAGGUCCUAUAGGACAGGACAGGGCUGGGUUUAUCCACAGGUCCUAUAUGACAGGGCAGGGCUGGGUUUAUCCACAGGUCCUAUAUGACAGGGCUGGGUUUAUCCACAGGUCCUAUAGGACAGGGCUGGGUUUAUCCACAGGUCCAAUAUGACAGGGCUGGGUUUAUCCACAGGUCCUAUAGGACAGGGCUGGGUUUAUCCACAGGUCCUAUAGGACAGGGCUGGGUUUAUCCACAGGUCCUAUAGGACAGGGCUGGGUUUAUCCACAGGUCCUAUAGGACAGGGCAAGGCUGGGUUUAUCCACAGGUCCUAUAUGACAGGGCAGGGCUGGGUUUAUCCACAGGUCCUAUAUGACAGGGCAGGGCUGGGUUUAUCCACAGGUCCUAUAGGACAGGGCAGGGCUGGGUUUAUCCACAGGUCCUAUAUGACAGGGCAGGGCUGGGUUUAUCCACAGGUCCUAUAGGACAGGGCUGGGUUUAUCCACAGGUCCUAUAGGACAGGGCUGGGUUUAUCCACAGGUCCUAUAGGACAGGGCUGGGUUUAUCCACAGGUCCUAUAGGACAGGGCUGGGUUUAUCCACAGGUCCUAUAUGACAGGGCAGGGCUGGGUUUAUCCACAGGUCCUAUAGGACAGGGCAGGGCUGGGUUUAUCCACAGGUCCUAUAGGACAGGGCAGGGCUGGGUUUAUCCACAGGUCCUAUAGGACAGGGCAGGGCUGGGUUUAUCCACAGGUCCUAUAGGACAGGGCAGGGCUGGGUUUAUCCACAGGUCCUAUAGGACAGGGCUGGGUUUAUCCACAGGUCCUAUAGGACAGGGCAGGGUUUAUCCACAGGUCCUAUAGGACAGGGCAGGGUUUAUCCACAGGUCCUAUAGGACAGGGCAGGGCUGGGUUUAUCCACAGGUCCUAUAGGACAGGGCUGGGUUUAUCCACAGGUCCUAUAGGACAGGGCAGGGCUGGGUUUAUCCACAGGUCCUAUAGGACAGGGCAGGGCUGGGUUUAUCCACAGGUCCUAUAGGACAGGGCUGGGUUUAUCCACAGGUCCUAUAGGACAGGGAAAGGAAGUGCUCAUUUCUUCUUGGUGGCUCUCUUUC